AAUUUCAUGAUUUUAGUUUCUUGUAUAAUUAAUACACUUUAUACCACUGUGGCCCCGUUAAAGACUGAUUUGGCCAUGGUAAUUGCAGAUGAAACAUUUCGAAGUUCAUUUUCACUCAGCUGUAAUGUACAAAUGACUUAUUUUGUCAUUACCUAUUACAAUAGCUUACUGCGGGAAAUGGUUAAUGCGGUACAGAAGUUUAAAAAUAAAGAAAGAAAAGCUAAAGUGGUGAAACUGUUUUGUGACUUCCAUGUGUGUAGAGAGAUAAGCACCUCUGCAUAUGACAUGGUCAAAAUUCACUGAGUCAAUGUCACGUCUGUAGGACGUGUGACUCUUGUGAACACAUUGUACACCCCCUGUCUGCAACACCACUGGAGUCUAGAAAACAGCUUUUGUUUUGUUAUGAUCAGAUAAGACGUAUUUCUCAUGUAAACUCAUAAAGAUGUACAUGGUGUGAUGACUGACAAUAUAAAAGGACUUUUUAUUUGAGCACUUCGGCCCUUUAUGGUUUGCAUCAUAAUAAAAAAAAAUUGUUUUAGUUUAAGUCACAAAUAAUAAUAAUAAUGUUAAUGUAUUAAACCAAAUAUAUCUAAAUUUGCAGAAAAUAUUUGUACCUACAUAUUAAUAUGUGUUAGCAGAGAAAGCUGUUCUAUGGCGUAAGUGCAUUUCCUUUGCUUGUGGUCAUGUCUCUGUAACUCUGUUGGUUAGUUGUUUAUAUGCCGUAUAUGGGCUUAAAAUGCAGACUAUGAAAUGGACAGGAAGUGAGGGUGCUAAACUGUUGCUCUGCAUUCCACAGGACUAGGGUGGUAGUAUAAAUUGUGCAGCAUAAAAAAAAGGAGCUGCACAGAGAAAUCAGGGUUCUUUUCCCUUGGCCGUUUUUGUUUUACUUUUUGUUCCUUAUUUGGUGAUUUUCAUCUGCAAGCAGGGGCUCAUGAAGGUUCAAUGCGCCUGUUUGCUGCUGCUGCUGCUCUCUGCUGCUGUGCUCUCACAAACUUAUAAUGAUUUCAAAAGGAAACACAUCCUUCCAAAAAAGGGCUCUCAUGACUGUAAUAACAUGAUGAUAAAUGUCAAUGACAUAAAUCAGUGUAAGUCAAUAAAUACUUUCAUCAAAGAUAAGGGGAACUUAGUGCUACACAAAGCCACUACUAUCAAAAAUGGGUUUGUCACCCACAAAUUUGAUGUCAUUGACUGCAUAAUGAUAAGCAGCAAACCUUGUUUAUACCAAAUGCUAACACUCAGAAAAAACAAAAGGAUAAAAUGUGAAAAUGGCCUACCUGUACACCUUGAGGCCUGAAGUAUCAGGUUUCAAUGAUGCCUUAAACGGUUCUCUUUCUUUCUGUUUCUUUAUCAGUUAUAUAUUUUAUUGUGUGAUGCUGAAUCUGAGUAAAUAAGUCACAAAAA